GUGUGCUUGGGCGAGGAGGAAGCCUCUUGGUGCAGGAAGGCCUUGCUUUCCCUUGUCUUUAGAUCACAGAAGGCCAUUCUCGCUUUGAGAUCUGGUAAAAGGGCAAAGCAGCAACCUCCAGAUACAAUGUGCAGCACAAUUCGCCAGAACAAUAACUAGGAGUUGCUAAGAAGAGAAUGAGUUGGAAACUCCAUGCCUCAGGUUGGUGCCAUCCAUAAAGCCAAGAUAAUACAUAAACAGCUAAACAGCUAGUGGGACAACUAGGACAGAAAUGGCAGAAAACGUGACAGCCAAGAGAAGAAGCAAGAAUGGAGAGAACCCUGGAUAAUGGCACCGAGAUACCAUCGUGAAUG
rnacentral:lncRNA from 1 species